rnacentral:lncRNA from 1 species
GUUGGGGUUAUGGUAUGGGCCCCAUGGUGGAGGUGGGGUUAUGGUAUGGGCCCCAUGGUGGCAGUGGGGUUAGGGUGUGGUAUGGACCUCAUGGUGGAGGUGGGGUUAUGGUAUGGGCCCCAUGGUGGGGUUAGGGUGUGGUAUGGGCCCCAUGGUGGAGGUGGGGUUAUGGUAUGGGCCCCAUGGUGGAGGUGGGGUUAUGGUAUGGGCCCCAUGGUGGAGGUGGGGUUAUGGUAUGGGCCCCAUGGUGGAGAUGUGGGGAUAUGGUAUGGGCCCCAUGGUGGAGAUGUGGGGUUUGUGGUAUGGGCCCCAUGGUGGAGGUGGGGUUAUGGUAUGGGCCCCAUGGUGGAGAUGUGGGGUUAUGGUAUGGGCCCCAUGGUGGAGAUGUGGGGUUUGUGGUAUGGGCCCCAUGGUGGAGGUGUGGGGUUAUGGUAUGGGCCCCAUGGUGGAGAUGGGGUUAUGGUAUGGGCCCCAUGGUGGAGAUGUGGGGAUAUGGUAUGGGCCCCAUGGUGGAGAUGUGGGGUUUGUGGUAUGGGCCCCAUGGUGGAGGUGGGGUUAUGGUAUGGGCCCCAUGGUGGAGAUGUGGGGUUUGUGGUAUGGGCCCCAUGGUGGAGAUGUGGGGUUAUGGUGUUUGUGGUAUGGGCCCCAUGGUGGAGAUGGGGUUAUGGUAUGGGCCCCAUGGUGGAGGUGUGGGGUUAUGGUAUGGGCCCCAUGGUGGAGGUGGGGAUAUGGUAUGGGCCCCAUGGUGGAGCAACACUAUGUCAACUAAACAGGAUCUGAUUGGAUCGAGCCCUGGGUUUUUCUGAUUUAAAAACUAAAAUAAUUGUGUGACUUCCAGCUGUUUUUAAAUCGACAUGCACCACAGCAGGUAAUUGUUCCAUCUGUUUUCUAUGUAAAUAUCAACCCCCC